GUGCUCACUUUGCCAGCACAUACAAUGAAACUGGAAUGAUACGGAGAAGAUGAGCAUGGCCACUGCACGGGCGGAGCACAAUGGCUAAUGACUGUAAUCUCAGCACUUU